ACAAAACAAAAUAAAACAACAACAAAAAACUCCCAGUGUGUUUCCUACUCUUCUUUGUCUUGGAGGAAAGCAAAGGGAGAGAAAUGGACUUCACCAGUGGUCUUUGGCUUCAUCAAUUCACAGGAAAUGGCAUCAAGAUGGUUCAACUAAGACAUGAUCACUAAAAACAUUAUAAUAAUACCUUUUUGAAAAACUCAGUUUCUCCUGUUUACUAAAUAUUUAUUUCAUCAACAUGGGCUGCGUUCCACUGUGUCAGGAUUCUGCAUGUGGGUGGAGCACUGUUCCAGCCUGAGAAGAUGGUUCUGAGGCCACUUAGCAAGACAUUUUCCAGCAUGAGCAGGUUUCUCUGUGGAAAUAGUGACACCUGUUCUGGUGUGUUGUCUUUCCUCAGGGAACUUAAGGGGUACAAAGCUCCUGAAAAUGUUCUUUAUGCUGGUUGAAGCUCUUAUGUCGCUGUACUGAUUCCCUACGAUGCAGAUUUGAAUCACAGAGUAAUUAAAAUAUGGAUCAAAUAAGGCUGGGGCUCACCAAGGCUGAAAGCUGUAGCCAUUCAAGGCAUCAUUUCUGUCAUGAAAAUAUAGGACCUUUUCAAAACAUGCCUUCAGGAAGGUGUUCUCUUUUCAAACAAAAGUCUAAUGACUGCAUAACUCUUCUUGACCACAUCUUACACUUUCUCUAGACUUGCUUAUUUACAGCUACUGGAACAAAAAGAUGAAAUGAAUAAAGCACACUGAUUGUCCUAAGAGUCUUCUGUGACUAAAAGCACAUGAGCUUCUCCCCAGGCUGAGCUUUGACCCUCCCAAGCAUUUCCCCAAAGGCCAUGACACUGCAUCAGAUUGCUCCUGGACACUUUCCUCAGAGUUUUCAACAAAUAUAAACUGAGGAGUGGAGCACAGCACCAGAUUUGCUAAUCAAGAGGCAAUGGUCCCAGUCCAAAUGGGUGCUGUGUGUGAAUACAGAGCCCAGGAGAAGGGAAGGAGGUCUGUGAACAUCAGGAAUUGCAAAAUCUUGCUGAACCAAUAGACCAACAGCCAUUAACAUUUGUCAAUGCAAAGAUCCUAAAAUAUACAAGUGUGGAGUUGUCCUGCCCUAAGAGCUGAAGCUGUGACAAUCACGCUGCCAUGGUAGAUAUUUAAGCUCCCCUGAGGUUACUGAAUCUAACAAUGAAUAAACAAUGAAGAGUAGCUAAUUUUUGGAAAUCUCUUUCUAUGACCGGAAAAUAUUCACAAACUCAGAGUGAUUGUUUGGGGUGAAAGAUGGUCCCAUGCCUUGUGGGCCUCUCUUUGCUAUCUAUACAACGUUGGAAAUGAACCCCUCCCUUACAGGAAAGUGAACAGCAACCAAGGUGAGCCCACCCUGGGAGGGCAGAGUGGGUGUACUUUCCUCGAAGAGCCCUGAACACAACAGGGCACACAAACAGCCACAGCACCCUCAACAAUGCCCCACCAUCUGCCCACCAGGGCACACAGAUUCACGCAGAUUCAGUGACACAUUCCAAAAAAAGGGAAUUAAGGAGGACCCAUGGCAUGGCUAAUGGGGAGAGAGCUUUACUACUUUUAGCACCAUUGCUAAUUAUUGGAGCAAAGAAAGGCAUACAAGGAAUGGAACCCAACCUGUUUAAAGUAAUAAAUGUCAACCCUAAAGUGCAUGGAACCAUCUCUCCUUCCCUUUUGAGGACUGUGUGCUUCACAAGCUGGGCGUUUGCUGCAUGGGGUUUUCUAAUGUAAUGUGAAUUUUCAAUGUGCUUUGUCUCUGUAGAGUGGCUUUAAAAAGCCCUUGAAGUCCUCAGCUUUAAAUCCAUGCUAAUAGGGGAAGUCUUUUUUUUUUUUUUUUGGAGGUGAGGAGCUUUGGUUGGGAGAAACAUUGACCCAGACUGCACUCUGGGUAAACUAGGGCAAAAGACCUGAUAUCGUCUGCAGGGUACUUAUUAACCACUGUUCAUUUGCAGGAUCAAUAUUUCCAGCAAAGGAGUCCACACUCAAGAUACACUGCUACGUCUCACUUUUUCCUUGACACAACAAUUUAUUUUAUAAAUGCAUCUGCUGGAGAAGAAAAGGCAGUACCAAGGAUUGUGUCUUUUAUCUCCAGGAUAUGCAAAGCGCAUUUAUUUUCAGCUUUUAUCUCUGGAAUUGUAUGUUGAUCCCAUACAUAUAGAUUGAUUUUGUUCAGGUAGAUAAUGAAAAGUCAAGUGGAAAAUUACACAAUGGCAUUCACGAUCCUAGUCUUAUAUCAGUAUAUAAAUUGGUUUAUUAUUUCAUUCUAUUAAAGAGGCUUUUUUUUGGUACCAGGAAAACUUCAAAAUGCAUUGUGUUGUCAGCCUCACUGAAUUUUCUUUUGGAGGAGGAGGUAGGGAGGGGAAGCCAAAGCCCCGAUUUCUCCUGCUCCUUUUGCUAAUUGUAUUGGCUAAAUGAGCUUUCACAGAGGGGGGUCCUGGCUGCUUUUUGCUCUCCCCCAGACCACUUGUAGGUUGCACACAGGGCUUCUAUAACUCUUUCUGAGU
rnacentral:lncRNA from 10 species